AGUGAACGCUGGCGGUAGGCCUAACACAUGCAAGUCGAACGGCAGCACAGUAAGAGCUUGCUCUUACGGGUGGCGAGUGGCGGACGGGUGAGGAAUACAUCGGAAUCUACUUUUUCGUGGGGGAUAACGUAGGGAAACUUACGCUAAUACCGCAUACGACCUACGGGUGAAAGCAGGGGAUCUUCGGACCUUGCGCGAUUGAAUGAGCCGAUGUCGUAUUAGCUAGUUGGCGGGGUAAAGGCCCACCAAGGCGCCGAUCCGUAGCUGGUCUGAGAGGAUGAUCAGCCACACUGGAACUGAGACACGGUCCAGACUCCUACGGGAGGCAGCAGUGGGGAAUAUUGGACAAUGGGCGCAAGCCUGAUCCAGCCAUACCGCGUGGGUGAAGAAGGCCUUCGGGUUGUAAAGCCCUUUUGUUGGGAAAGAAAAGCAGCAGGUUAAUACCCCGCUGUUCUGACGGUACCCAAAGAAUAAGCACCGGCUAACUUCGUG
rnacentral:rRNA from 1 species